rnacentral:misc_RNA from 1 species
AGACCAACUUCAACGACAGAUUUGACGAGAUCCGCCGACACUGGGGAGGUGGACAGAUGGGUAACAAGUCUCAAGCCCGCAUUAACAAACUCGAAAAAGCUAAAGCUCGUGAACUGGCCCAGAAAAUGGGUUAGAAGUGCAAAUAAAUUAUGGCUGA